GCAUUGGUGGUUCAUUGGUGGUAGAAUUCUCGCCUGCCACGCGGGAGGCCCGGGUUCGAUUCCCGGCCAAUGCA
rfam:Tauraco erythrolophus contig38519, whole genome shotgun sequence.